rnacentral:tRNA from 1 species
CUCGCGAUAGCUCAGUUGGUAGAGCGGAGGACUGUAGAUCCUAGGUCGCUGGUUCAAAUCCGGCUCGCGAGA